AACACGAUUUUUUUAAUAACACAAUAAUUUUAACAACCACCUUCUGUAAAUUAUUCUUUGGAUGAAUAUUUUAUAAUAUUAGUGGAGGUGGAAUGGAAGAGAUUUACUACUCUGUAGUUGCAGCAUUUUGCAAAUGCCUUGCUCCUAAAGCUUUUUGGUUCUCGAGCUCAGUCUUAGAACUCAUGUGUCCCUCAUGUUUGCCACAUCAGCAAUACCACAAGCUCUGUGUGAGGAAGCCAAUAUAUGGAAUCUUAGUUUGUUAGAUUAGUUAGUUAAAGAAAGGUUGGUACUUCCCUUAAAUUCUCUCUAAAACUUUGCUCUCUUUCUCUUUUAUUUUUUUUUCUUUUUCAUCUUUUGAGGGGUGGGGAAAACGAUUCUCCAAUUUCGAUCGGGAAUCACAUUCUCUCCGUCCAUAAAUACUAAAUAAUAUAUAGCUUUAAUUUUUUCUUUCAAUAAAAUCUCUCUGUUAUGUAGUUUUCUGAUAUAAAUUUUAUAGUUGCAUUGCUUUUGGUCAAUCAACAAAAGCACCAAUAUUAUUGAUUGCUAGAAACUUGAAAACCAGGACUUACAAAACAAGCUAACAACUAAGCCAUCUAAGGCUUUCAAAAACCUUUAACCAGGAGAACUACAUAGUCCUGUAAUGAAUAUCAGACCUAAUUCUCUGCACCACAACUUCCCAAAUGGUCCUGUUCUUGUUAAAGAUCAAGUCAUUUCUAGCUAUCCAAAUCUGAUAAACAGUAGCAUUAAAAGCUAACUUCCUUCUUCUAGCUCUUUCAGAUUUCCCUUUAGAUCUUCUAGUCAUGAAGCUGACCUCUCUUCUGCACUCUAAAACAUCUCUGGUGAAGCCAAUGAUCUUUAAAGUUUCUUUCCAUAUAGUUUUUGAAAAAUUGCAGGCAAAGAACAAGUGAUUCACUGUUUCUGUAUGAAAGUUGUGUACAGAAACAACAGACUCUAGAUUGAAUUACUCCCUAUCUCAUCAAUUUAUCUCUAGUCUGAAGCAUGUUCAUCAAAGCAACCCAGACUAUGAAGGAAUGUCUAGAAACAUUUCCAGCAAAACAAACAAGGUUACUCCAAGACUUAGUACUAUUCUCAGUCUGUAAAUUUUUUCACACACUUUUGGUAGAGAAGAUACCAUUGCCAUUUUCCUUCCAUUUAAUAUUACCUUGAACUGAAUCCCUCAUAGAAAAAUUGUCUCUGAUGUAGUCCCAAGCAACUUGAGUCUGCAUAUUUACAGGAUCAGGUAACCUCCAGUUAUCGUUUCUCCAAAGAUCCUUCACCUUAGUCUUCUUUGGAAUGCCAGCAUCUUUAAUACAAAUAUCUGGAAAUUUAUCUACAAUAGAUUCUCCAUUCUAACCAAGGGUCAUACCAGAAGGAGAAUUGAUCCCCAUUCCCCAAGUUAUACUCAAAUAAAUGAUUGAUCAUGUCCCUGGUUUUCAGGAUGUAUCUCCAACUCCAUGAGCAAUCCAUAGCUUUAGUAAUUCCCCAAAAACUAAGCUGCUUUAGCUUAUUUGAAUUCACCCAAUUAGCCCAAAUAGAAGGCUUCAUGGUGAUUAAGUCCCAAAUCUGCUUUGAAAUACCAGCAACAUUACUUAGAUGCGGAGAUCUAAUACCAAGACCACUUGUUCUUUUACUGUUACAAACAUUACACCAAUUAACUAACCCCGCCCUACUUUAAAGAGUUUGACCCAUGCCAUAGAAACCUUCUGCAAGUAGUCUCCACUUCUUUAAUGACAGCUUUAGGGAUCAUAAAGAUUAAACUCCAGUAAACAUUCAUGCUCAUAAGAACAGAAUUAAUAAAUUGCAGUCUUCCUGCAUAAGGUAAGCUUUUGGAAGUCCAUUGAUUGAUUCUGGCCACAAUUUUUUGGGUUAAUUAAGGUGUUACAAUGAUUCUUGGAGAGUCUAGAGGAGAUAAGAGGAAUACCAAGGUAGUUAAUAGGCAAGGUUCCAAUUUGAAAACCAAGCUUAUUCUUUAUAGCUAUCUUGAGUUCCAUUAAACAAGAUAGAGCUCUUAUUUAGGUUAGGGUGAAGACCAGAAACACCAGCAAAAGUAGAUAUAGACUUCUGCAGAAUACUAAUAGAAUCGAAAUCACUUAUGCUGAAAAGCAGUAAGCCAUCAGCAAAUAUUGGAUGGCAUAAUUUGAUCUUUUAUAGUUGCAUUGAACGGUUUUAUGGUUUUAUGUUUUUUUGUAGUUUGUUUUUUUAGAUCUCUCAAAAAUAUAUAGUGAUUGUUCGGGUUUUAUAGUCAAUUUCUUGCAGAUCUACGAUUUUAAAUGAUUAUCAAUAUAACUUAUAAAAAUCUCAUUGGCAAAGAUGAUUAGAAAUACUAAACUUCACGGGAUCAAGUGGGUCGAGCAUGUGGCCGGUUAAUCGGAGAUAAGGGCAAAUAAAAGUAUCUGCUCCAACGGAAUUUUCACUUCUUAUAUUCGGUCAAUAUAUGCGGAAUCUUAUACAUUUAUUCCUCUCGUUUUCUUGUUACUUGUAUCUUCAUUUGUAAGUGUAUUUUUUUUAGUUCAAAAAUUGAAAGAUCGUAUACUACUAUUGUUAUAUGACUUUCUUUGUAUUAAUCGUUAUUAAUAUAUUUUACUUUGGGAGCAAAAAAGAUAGGUGGUUAUUAUCUAGAUUAGUCUUCAUUAUAUAAAGUGAAAGGUAUUGUAACAAACAAUCUUAAAUACAAUAAAGCUUAGUUUUCUGA